GACGAACGCUGGCGGCGUGCUUAACACAUGCAAGUCGAACGCUGAAGCUCAGCUUGCUGGGUGGAUGAGUGGCGAACGGGUGAGUAACACGUGAGUAACCUGCCCUCUUCUUUGGGAUAACGCCCGGAAACGGGUGCUAAUACUGGAUAUUCACUGAUUCUCGCAUGGGGGUUGGUGGAAAGGUUUUUUCUGGUGGGGGAUGGGCUCGCGGCCUAUCAGCUUGUUGGUGGGGUGAUGGCCUACCAAGGCUUUGACGGGUAGCCGGCCUGAGAGGGUGACCGGUCACAUUGGGACUGGGAUACGGCCCAGACUCCUACGGGAGGCAGCAGUGGGGAAUAUUGCACAAUGGGCGAAAGCCUGAUGCAGCGACGCCGCGUGAGGGAUGGAGGCCUUCGGGUUGUAAACCUCUUUCGCUCAUGGUCAAGCCGCAGCUUUGGGUUGUGGUGAGGGUAGUGGGUAAAGAAGCGCCGGCUAACUACGUG
rnacentral:rRNA from 1 species